AUCGAUAUUAAAAUUUGUCCUUGCAUUCUUUAUGUAGAAUAAAGUUGGCAAUUGUAUCAAUAUACUGAUCACCCCACAAUAGGCACACACACACAUAUAUAUAGGACUUACUGUUUUUUGAAAGUUUUAAUCUUAAAGUACAUGUGGAAGUUUCGUUCGGUUAGUUUUAACAACUCCCAAGACCUGAAAGGUUUUGGUAUCUGUCAGAGAAUUGUAGUUGGAAAAAAAUGAUGCUGCUGUUUACAGUUAUCAUGUGAAUCGAAAUACAGAGGAUAUUACCCUGGCAAGCAUCGAAUCCAUGUGGACGACAUAGAAACUAUAGAUAAAUGUAUCACCAUUGACUCAGCAAAAGUAGAUCUAGACAUGUAAAGAGUGCGAGGAAAGUCACUUUCAUAGUGUUAUACCUCUAUUGACUACAGUGUCGUUUUGAGUUUUCAGUUUAUACUGGCGGUUGGGUCAACUUCCAUAAGAAUAAAAUAGUGGUGUUACUACCGUUUUAUUGACCUAUCAUUUCCAGUCCUGCAUUACUUUGAAAAUGUUUUCAAUAAUUUUCUUUCAACUUAAAUCUAAAGUAAACGUCGGGAAGAUGAUUUUGUUUUCAAAUUUGGUGUUUCUAUUAAUUACACUGAUACCCGGAUAUGAGGCUACCCCCGUUGUUAGCGUAGCACGUGGAUUUAAAAGUAAACAUAUACGCCAAGGUAGCUGUGUAAGAAGUAGAGUAACUGUACAACCAGGGCAGGAAGAAACCUUAAAGGAUAAUAUGAUAAGAACAGUAACAGGGUGGUCGGAUUUCAUGUACAGUAAUAAGAUGAAUAAUAUACCGAGGACAACCAACACGUUUAUCAUGUCUGAGAGAAACAACCCAGAGAUGAUUGAAAGCUGUAUCGCAGAUAUAGUACGGCGAAAUCAAAACAGAUGGAAGAAGGGACGCUCAAACAGUUUUGACUUCACUAUCACAAAGAAUGACUUUCACCUUUAUUCGCAAUGCGAUGAAAAUAGCAUAUCUAUUGCAGUGAUGACGAAUAUAAACUGGCAAAUAAACCCUACUGAUGUUCAAAUCAAAUGCCGAUGUCAAAAUGGCGAUUUUUAUGCUUUUAUCUCUUUCUUGAAAACAAAAGACGGGACCUUUCUAAUUAAUCACUUUGGUGGACAAGAACUAUUCGGUAAUGAUCGUAAUUGUUUUUGAGUGAAUGUAAGUAAGAGUACAUAACAAAGAUGCCUUUACAUAAACAUGUAUCCACAGUUAAAA
rnacentral:lncRNA from 1 species